AUUGAACGUUGGCGGCAGGCCUAAAACAUGCAAGUCGAACGGUAACAGCGGAAGCUUGCUUCCGGCUGACGAGUGGCGGACGGGUGAGUAACACGUAGGAAUCUACCUAGUAGUGGGGGACAACCCGGGGAAACCCGGGCUAAUACCGCAUACGCUCUACGGAGGAAAGCGGGGGAUCUUCGGACCUCGCGCUAUUGGAGGAGCCUGCGUCGGAUUAGCUAGUUGGUGGGGUAAAGGCCUACCAAGGCGACGAUCCGUAGCUGGUCUGAGAGGACGAUCAGCCACACUGGAACUGAGACACGGUCCAGACUCCUACGGGAGGCAG
rnacentral:rRNA from 1 species